rnacentral:lncRNA from 1 species
GGGUGAUCAUUUGGUUCGAUAACACCAAAGGCUGGAUGAAUUUACCCAGAGAGGACCGUAAUGAAAAUCUGAAAUAACCUUUAUAAUUUUCAAGUGAGGAAAUGAAGGCCAAACAUGAGAGGCUACAAUAAGAGUAUACUGGCAACAUCUGGAAGAGCCAAGUCCUUCUCCACAGGCCAUAUGUAUCCACAAGGAAAUGCCAGAGCUGUCCAUCACUGGGGCCUCUCCCUGCUCACCAGCCAAGGUUGCUACCAAGAGUCCUCAAUCUGCUAAGAGUAGGAUUGGGGUAACUACCUUGAUAAGCUGGAUUUUAAUUUUUGUUUGUUUAGGAUAAAGAAUCUUCCUGCCUUGAUAGGAUGUACUGGACUAUUUGAAAACUGUGUCAGUUGGGUGAGGCCUAGAGACAAGCUGGCCUAUGUGAAAAAUUUAGUUUAAUGGGUAAAAGGAUGCCUCCACCUUAAGCAUGAAAACCAGAGUUUACAAAAAGUUAAACAUUCAUUGUAGAAAUGGCCCUUCUUUAAUAGAUACGAGGUGACAGGUCUCCCUUAGUAACCAAAUUUGUCUGUAGAAAUUCCAGUGUAUUCCAUGGUUCCCUAUGUAGGUAUUUCUGGGAUUCCCUGCAAGAUGCUUAUAGGACAGAAACUGGUCACAGUUUUUGCCACUUCAACCAUCCAGUUGCUGCUCUCUGUCCUCUGUCCGUGUAUUUUCUGCCAACUCAUCUGAACCCACUGCUUCCAUAGAUCUCAUCCCCUCUAGCUGGAUGCCUCUUGACUAUUUUCCCCCAGGUGGGCACAGUCAGGUCCCUUAAUCCCCCAUAAUCGCCUAUUAGAUGGUCCAAAGCUUUAUGAAGGCUUGUAAGGCUUUAAGGCUUGAAGGUUUUAUGAAGGUUUCAGAAGAAAAUAACAGCAAAGAGGAUACAAAAAGAAUGUUAGUUACGGCGGCCUUCAAAGCCCCUUCAUGAGGUCAACUACAAGGUGUACCUCUUUCCCCAACUCCUCCUCCAGUGUAGCCCCCAGCCUGCUGCUUAACCACCCCCAGGGCAGUGCCCUCUAGCACAUCUCUCUUAACUGGAGUCUAGGCCCCCAAACGCUAAAGGUCCCCAAGCAUCCAUGUUUCCCCACGCCUUUCAAGGAUGACUGGGAAUAUUCAUUCAUUGAAGGGAAGAGGCCACAGGAAUAAGGUUGUUGUGCUAUCUUUCCCAAUCAGAUGGGGGCCCCCAAAGGUGGGGUGACCCGAUUGGGUGGAAGCUGGAGGUACCGGCAGUGAAAGAAUU